rnacentral:pre_miRNA from 1 species
UACCUACUCUCUCUGUUCGGAAUUACUUGUCACAGAAAUGGAUGUAUCUAGAUGUAUUUUAGUUCUAGAUACAUCCAUUUCCGAGACAAGUAAUUCGGAACGGAGGAAGUAGAUA